GCGGGCUCUUGACUGCUAAGCUAGCUCCUGACUUUGGCAGCUGAAAGUAUAAAUCAGUGCCAUUAAACAUUCAUAUCAGAGUGACGUUUCCUGAUUAAAUUCAUUUAUUGGAGCUUUUGGAACCACCCGAUGCAGCAGCUUGGGAGCAUGGCCAAACUCCAUCAGCUGUGUAUUCAUCUACCUCUGGAGGAGCGCGCUGAGGAAGGGUUUCACUGAGUCGUUUGACCCUGUUACCAGGGACAGCAACAAAGCAGCACACUCAGAUCAUUUGGAUUGACUCUGUGAACACUCAGGGAGAGUUUUUAAAACCUUGCGUAUGUGCUAAAAGUACAAAGAGCUCCAACUUCUACCCCGUUACGCCCCAUGCUUUUAAGGAGAAGACACGGGCUGCGCGUGCAGUAGUACAUGGAGCCCAGUCAGAGUUCCAGGGCUGAGGACUCCCAGAAUGAUAGCGGUUAGCUGUGAAGUCAGAGUCGUCCUUCCCCACAGGCUGCACGGCCUCACGGCCGCUGGUCCGGGUUACUCUGCUCCUCCUUAUCGGGCUGCUCCUGGAGACAACGCGCGGGCAGGAAAUACUUGCAGGCUGCCGGAGCCUUCCCAGAGAGAGCCACCGAGGCUCUUGCUGUGCAACCUGCGGCACUGCUUCUUCUCCAGGGCCUCCGUGCGGCUCUGCCGGCCUUCGGGAGCUACAGCCGCCCACCACGCCGUCCGACGGGGACAGAAGUACUCCUCAGUCCCCGUCCACAGUUCUGAUAUUUUCAGUCAAAUCCUUUGACUCUCGCUUUUUCUCAUCUUCAAAGCUCAGCUGUAAUUUACAAAAUGAGAGUUUCAAGCUCUCUUCAGGAGCUCCCUUUACAGUAUAUGUGGUUUGAGAACGCUGGGAAUUCUUAUUUGUUUAGUAUUUUCUAUUUAGGCAGUCCUUUCGAAAAUAUCGGAUGGUAUUCAGGUGGUACGGAUAUUAAUAUUCGGUAAUCCAGCAGAAGUAAGUUUAAAAUCAAUGGAGUUGAGCACGAAUGAAAACUCUUCCCGUAUUCUUUAUUCCCAUGUUCUUUAUUUUGAGGGUUAUUGAUGGCAUUAUAUCAUCUGAAUGGCUUUUGAUUCCUUUAGAUAUAUUUAUGAUCGUGAUAUACGUACAUUGACAGUCCAGGGAGAACAAGCAGUGGUUACAGGUCCCACUGCCUUUCCUUAUGUCCACUCUUCCCCAGGAUGACCCUGUCUUACAGUGCCACCUAUACACAAAACGCCACGAGAUCUCCUCAUGUCCCAAACAUCGUACACCAUACUGGGGAUAUGCCAGACGUUUAAAGAACAACAACUUCAGCUGUGCAGCUCUGGAGGAACAACUGCUACACGGCUGAAGACUUGACCGUCUCCUUCUUCCUGUUACUCUGCUUAUUUCCUUUCUGCCUGUACAGCAAACAGCUUCUCCCUGCACGAAACCAUCCUCCAAAUUUCGGCACCACGUGACCUUUGGUGCAUUCAGCUUGCUCGCAGUGCUCACCACCAAGACUUCCCCCAGCUCAGAAGUUACUCACUUCAUUUCCUGGCGGGAGGCGCCUGGAGCAGGAGGCGGCGCGAGGCUGCGAGAGCAGCUGCGGGGUGUUUGCGCUGCUGGCACGAGGAGGCUGCUGGCGGCAUCCGACCGCCCUGGGGAUGGGGAGAACGCGCUGCCCGCACGCUGCAGCUGAGGAGCGGCCCGGUCCCCGAAUCUCUGUGCCUGGUGCUCCCGUCCCGACCCUCGCCGCCACUCUGCAGCCUGGAACAUCCCACCGAGUCCCUGCGAUCACAGAGCGGCGACUGCUCCGCGGGCUUCACACGGCGAUUUUCUCUGCAGCCUAGGUCUUGCCAAAACCUCUGCUAAAUGGGGAGUGACCCUGAGCACCGGUGGCAGCGCCAGGACUCAGCUCUGCUUUCUGUGCUCCAGACCCUGAACCCUCAUCACCUGCCCAGCUCGGGACCUGCGGCUCUGCUCAGUGCUCGUGAAUCUGCUGCGCUCUGCUCCUCCCCUGCGCUGAAAGAACAGCCUCUCACUUCGGGCCUCUGAAUAAUCCUUCUGGAGAUACACGCUGGAUCAGAAACUACACCAACCGCACUCACGUGAAAGUUGGAGUUUAUCUCAGUAUUCUCAUUCUGAAAUUUGUGUUAAAUAGAAAAAACCCACAAGGGUGAAAAUGAUCAGUGCUCUGUCCUGGCGGAAGCAUUCUGACAUUCCGUGCAAUCCUUUUAUUUAUGGUUUUAAUGAUGAAUAAAUUCUUACUGUAACUAUUUAACCGUGAGGAGCGGCUAGGCAGAGCUGAGGGGAUGAGUGUGUCUCGCACAGGUCUGCGGGUCUGGCUGGAAACCUCCCCGCUGCUGUGUGCAGACACGGUCUGUCCGUCCCCGACAUGCCACCCUCGGGCAGCGCGGGGAAGUGCCGGCACCGGCUUCGCAGCGUCUCGGAAACCCUCCAGGUUUCUCCAGGCUUUACCCAGUCAUCUCCGUCGUGUGUCCGGUAACUCUGGCAAGGCAUAAGGACAGCUCAUAUUAUGCUACGACACGCCUUCCAAAAAAUCUCUAGCUGUGAGCUGGAAACAUCACAAGCAGAAGUCAGCGUGUCUGCAGGUAACUUGUCCCCGUGGUUAAUUACCUGCUCCAACAAAGAGCUGUGCUUCGCUUUCCCUUUGAAGAUGACUGAGUUCAGCUUCCAGCCGCUUGGUCUUGCUGCAGCGAUCUCUGCUGGCUCAGGGGACUGAUCAGUACCUCGUGUUCCUCCCCCAGAAACUUCCAAUAUUUUGCAAUGCAAUCAUCUUGCAGUCUUCUGGGAAACCAAACGGACUGACUCGUUGACUGUAAAAUGUAUUAAUAUGAAACCUCCAGAAGCAUU